rnacentral:misc_RNA from 1 species
GGAGGUCUAUUUUUGCCCCUGUGCCAACAGUCCCAGCCAUGGCUACCCCCCCUGCCCCUCGCAUGCCCACGGCAUUGCGUGCGAUGGGCGGCCAUGGCACGGGCAUCGGUCCGACGACCGGCCGGUUUUCCGGCGGCCGUUCCGGCGAUGCCCUUUCCGGCGAAGUGGGAAAAAUGCGUUGGUGCUCGUGUGCUAUUUUUUGUCGCUCGGUUAGGACGUUGAGGGGGGAUGAUUCCACACGUUGUGGGCUMUGCCGUUCGGCUAUAUGCAUUACUCCGCGAGAUAGGCAYUGUGUCCAUUGCGGGAACUGUAUUAGUCUCGGCUUGCCUCCGGCAUGUGGGUUGUUCCCCCACGUCGUUCAUCAUUGUCCCUCGGAUUUGCACAUGGGUUCCGUCGUGUCUUSUUCCCAAUCGCCUUCUUUUCCGUUCCCCUUUUAAAUUCACCUUUCUUUCGGAUGCUCAGGUGCUCGUGUGCUGUUUUUUGUCGCUCGGUUAGGACGUUGAGGGGGGAUGAUUCCACACGUUGUGGGCUCUGCCGUUCGGCUAUAUGCAUUACUCCGUGAGAUAGGCAUUGUGUCCAUUGCGGGUUCUGUAUUAGUCUCGGCUUGCCUCUGGCUUGUGGGUUAUUCCCCCACGCCGUUCGUUGUCCCUCGGAUUUGCACAUGGGUGCCGCGUCGUCUUCCCCACCUGCUUUCUUUCUCGACCCCUUUUCGAUUGAGCACCGUGUUCCGUCGCGUCUUCCCCAUCGCCUUUCAUUCCCGGCCCCCUUAAAAUUCUCUCUCUUUCGUAUUGAGCGCCUUGCUUCGCUGCUGCUCGUGGGCUUUUUUCCCCCCACGGCGUUCGUCACCGUCCCUCGGAUUGUUUCGCUGUUAUCGCGUCUUGCGGUGCUGGUGUUGCCUUGCUCGAUGUUUCCGCAUGCUCGACGUUGCUUGUUGACGUUGGGUUGUGGUUCGUUUGGUUGGGUCGGCAUCAAGUUUACGCAACAGACGUGUGAGUGGUGGUUGGAUGGCAUGGGUUUGCAGGCUCCUUGCUUGGGCAUCGAACUGUAAGCGCUCCAUCGAUUUCACAGUUUUCCCCGAGCGGGAUCGCUUGUGGGGGGGAUUCGGUAUCCUGUGCUGUUUGCCGAUGGAAUGGUAUUCGUUCGGUUCUUGACGCGCACAUCCGCUCGGCGCCUUUAGGGGCGUCGGGUGGACGACAGGCUGGCUCCGUGUUCCAGGCAUGCCUUGCUCCGUUGUUUGGUUGCCAUGGCCCGUGGGGUUAUGCUCGUUCUCUCGGAUGCCGAUCGUUGCGUCUGGGCGAGGGGGCUAAGGCUCCCAUUCGUCCAAGUUAUGCAUUUGUCCGUCGACACGAACGACUGCCGCACUCGUCUUGGCUCGAGGGCCGAAGGGCCCCGCGGGUAUCCAUACGUGUGCGGUGUCGCGAAGGAAAUGC